ensembl:snRNA U6 U6 spliceosomal RNA
GUGCUCACUUUGGCAACACAUACACUAAAAUUGGAGCAAUACAGAGAAGCAUGGCCUGUGAGCAAGAAUGACACACAAAUUUGUGAAGCAUUCUAUAUUUUU